UUUAAAAUAAUUUGUUAAUAUAAAUAGAAAUCAUAAAACUCAUUUCAUUACUUAAAACAUUGAUUAUCUCUCUAGAACUUUUUCUCCUAACUCUCUCUCACUUCUCUCUACCUUUUCUUACUCUCUAAUGAUCAGGUUGUUCCUAGGGGAUCAUGACGAAGAACUCUCUACUUCUAUCUGAUUGAUUCUUUGUUUAGAGCAGGUAAGUUUCUACCAUUUUCCCCCUUCCAUUCUCGGUCUUUGAUCAUGC
rnacentral:lncRNA from 1 species